rnacentral:rRNA from 1 species
CGGUUAUACCAAAAGGUCAAGUUAAAAUAUAUUAGUUGUGUAGUUAGAGGGGGAAAUUAAAGAAAGUUAAGAGCUAUUUUAGCAAAAGGUGAAAUUUAUAGGUUAUAGCAUAGUUCUUAGGUUGUGAUAAUUUUUUUUGAGGCUAAGGAUACCCGGGUAUGAACUAGGAUUAGAUACCCUAUUACACCGGGGGGUAAUGAAAGAUAGCUAGAGUAGUAAGAGUGAACGGGCUCGAAAUUCAAAGAAUUUGGCGGUAUUUUAGUCUAGUUGGAGGAACCUGUUUUAUAAACGAUAAACCACGUAAAAUCUUUCUUAUUCUUGUAGAGUUAGUAUACCUUCAUUAUUAGACAAUUUUAAGAGAUAUUGUUGAGAGCAGAAUUUCUGAGUAUAUUAGAUCACGGUGCUGCUUAUGAAUAAGUAGAAAUGGGUUACAAUAAAAUUUAUUUAAACGGAGUUUACAGUUAAAUUGUUAAUGAAGGUGGAUUCAAUUGUAACUUGGGGUUUAGUAGGGCCAGGUGGUAGGAGCUCUAGAAUGUGUACAUAUUGCCCGUCGCUUUCAUCAGUGUAGAUGAGAUA